GCCCUGGAGGACUAGUGGUUAGGCCACAGAGCUCUCACCCAUGUGGCUCUGGUUCGAUUCCCAGGGAA